AAGGGAGACCUAAUUCAGGUAGGAGACGAAAAAAAAGUAGUCCCUACCGAGAAUCAAUCCCAAAAGGUCGGAGCGAGGCAAAAUUGGCUUUCAAACUAGGUUCUGGGUUCACACAAGACCUGAAUCAGGAACAAGGGCUAUUAGCUCAGGUGGUUAGAGCGCACCCCUGAUAAGGGUGAGGUCCCUGGUUCGAGUCCAGGAUGGCCCACCUGUACAGGUGGCAAAAACAAAGAAAAGAAGCGAGGAAUCAGCACCUUAUCUUACUUAUAUAGUAAGAGAGAAUGCUGGCUCUGAGUAAAGAGUCCAGAGGAACCUUGAAAACUGCAUAGAGCUAGGUGAAAAAGCCAAAAAAGAAGACCGCAA
rnacentral:tRNA from 1 species